rnacentral:rRNA from 1 species
UACGAAGGGGGCUAGCGUUGCUCGGAAUGACUGGGCGUAAAGGGCGCGUAGGCGGUUUGGUAAGUCCGCUCUGAAAGCCCGGGGCUCAACCCCGGGAGGCGGGUGGAUACUGUCAAGCUCGAGUCCGGAAGAGGCGAGUGGAAUUCCUGGUGUAGCGGUGAAAUGCGCAGAUAUCAGGAGGAACACCAAUGGCGAAGGCAGCUCGCUGGGACGUGACUGACGCUGAGACGCGAAAGCGUGGGGAGCAAACGGG